GCAAUUCCUUAGGCGAAUUUAAAACAAAAUACCAAUGCCAGUUCCAAUCACUUUUAGCUAAAGCAACUACUGUUCGCCUUGAUCAACAAGUAAAUCUCUUCACUGUUGGAUUAACUAACACAAUUCGAAUGGAUGCUGAAUUGCAGAACCCACCCAACUUGGUAACGGCCAUGAAUCUCACUCAGGCUUAUGUGAAACGACAACAACUAGAAAGCUCUGGAGAUAGCAAAAGGAGUAUUAUCGUGACUCAUAACCAAUGAGCUGCACUUUAUGGCACCUUUGGGCACACCGCUAAGAAUUUAGGAGGAACAAUUGUUUUCGGAAAUAGCAACACAAGCAGUGUGUCCUUUCCUUUUGUUAAAAAACUUAGUUGAACAUAGAUGGUAGAGAGGCGAGCUAAAGGGUUGUACUAUAAUUGUGACGAACCAUACUCUUUAGGCACCAAUGUAAAAAACUAUUCUUGCUGGAGAUAGAUGAUCAUGACAAUAUAGUAGAAGACCAGAAUCAAGCUGAGCCUAAGAAACUAGAGGUAUCUCUACAUGCUUAUCCAAAGUUUGAGGUUGAGGGCAAGCUCUUUUUUCAGGAGGAGAGUAGUGUUGGGGAUG
rnacentral:misc_RNA from 1 species